rnacentral:rRNA from 1 species
GACGAACGCUGGCGGCGUGCUUAACACAUGCAAGUCGAACGGAAAGGCCCUGCUCUUGUGGGGUGCUCGAGUGGCGAAGGGGUGAGUAACACGUGAGUAUCCUGCCCUUGACUUUGGGAUAACUUCAGGAAACUGGGGCUACUACCGGAUAGGAGCUCCUGCUGCAUGGUGGGGGUUGGAAAGUUUCGGCGGUUGGGGAUGGACUCGCGGCUUACCAGCUUGUUGGUGGGGUAGUGGCUUACCCAGGCUUUGACGGGUAGCCGGCCUGAGAGGGUGACCGGCCACAUUGGUACUGAGAGACGGCCCAGACGCCUACGGGAGGCAGCAGGGGGAAAUAUGACACAAUGAGCGGGAGCCUGAGGCAACAACGCCGCGUGCGGGAUGACGGCCUUCGAGGUGUAAACCGCUGUCGCCUGAGACGAAGCGGGAGUGACGGUAAUGGGUAAAGAAGCACCGGCUAACUACGUG